CCUACGGGUGGCUGCAGUGGGGAAUAUUGCACAAUGGAGGCAACUCUGAUGCAGCGACGCCGCGUGCGUGAUGAAGUCUUUAUGUACGGAAAGCUCUAUCAGCAGGGAGGAAAAUUACGGUACCUGACUAAUACGCCACGGCUCACUACGUGCCAGCCGCGGCGGUAAUACGUAGGCGGCAAGCGUUAUCCGGAUUUACUGGGUGUAAAGGGAGCGUAGACGGCAGCGCAAGUCUGGAGUGAAAUCCCAUGGCUUAACCAUGGAACUGCUGUGGAAACUGUGCAGCUGGAGUGCAGGAGAGGUAAGCGGAAUUCCUAGUGUAGCGGUGAAAUGCGUAGAUAUUAGGAGGAACACCAGUGGCGAAGGCGGCUUACUGGACUGUAACUGACGUUGAGGCUCGAAGGCGUGGGGAGCAAACAGGAUUAGAUACCCCAGUAGUC
rnacentral:rRNA from 1 species